GGGGAAUCUCCUUACCCGCGAUAUCGCGCUCUACCUCAUGUGCCAUGCGAGUGGAAUCGCGUCUCUGCUGACCCAUAAUUGCGACGAGAUUGCGAUGCGCAAUUUCUUGGUUUUUUGUUAAGUUGAUCAAGUUCAUGAUCAUUGCGCGGAGCUCGGCCAAUUCGCUGGCAGGUCGCGAGGGGACCUGAUUAGAUAGGUUGGCCGAGUUAUCUCCGUUUGGAGGUUGUAUCGUGACGUUUCGUUCUCCGCCCCUUGUUUGCGGAGGGAGAGUGAUUUGGUCAGAUCCAGAAGAAUUCGAGUUUUGGGAGAUGUUCUCUGUGUCAGUGUUAUGGAUAGCAUCAACCUGGGCUCCGGGAGGGAGAUCCGUUGGGAGGUGCCCGUCCGUAACGUCAUCGUUUGGGAUCUGAACUGGUAAGCCAGAUCCCGAUGUGUUGGAUGAAUUGGGAUCCAUGAUCGUUGGUCACAAUUGAUGUGUUAGUUUCGGUGUUAGAAUGAUCUAUUUCCGUCCCCACAGACGGCGCCAAAUGUGGGUUCUGAAAUCCACAUUAGAGAUUUGUAUUUAAGAUUAUGAGAAAGGAGGGCUAGAUCUUCACUGAAACCUUGAGAGUUAUAUUGCUAAGAACGAAUGGACUUUUGUAUUGAUUUUGACAAAGCUUUUACAAUGAGAAAAGAGAUUACAAGUGUAAAAGUGUGUGUGUGAAUGUAAGCUAGAUUGAAUGUCUCUUCCAAGUCGUCCUUGCUCCCUUAUAUAGGUCUACGCACGUGGUAGCUCUGUCCGGGAUCUGCGGAGAUCCUCCUGGAUAUUCGGUAGGUCAGUUUUGAGAUAUCAGGUCCGCUCCGUGAAUAUCUCCUCGUCAGUUCCUAGGUCAUUAUUCGCUUAUCUCCCUUCAUCAGCUGACUGGGUUAUCUGGCCCAAAUACCCAUUCGCGUAUGUGGGCUCGUGAGCUGCGUAGGUCCUCUACUUAGUGGGAUUGGUGGGCUUUUGUUGGCUGGCUUGGUAUUUUCGCAGGUGGAUUCCUGGAGGGGAAUCCAGCUCAAACAACUAUCCUGUCGUUGUAGUAUUUUAGGUGUCAAUCCAAUCUGGUGUGAUGCAAACAUAUGAGAUAUGAUUAGAAAGCUCUAAGUCAAGCCAAGCAGAGAGUUGGUUGGUCCUAACAGUCCUAGUAUUCAAUAACAGAAAGGAAAUGAAAAUAAAAGCAGAAAUAGCAAUAACAGGCAGGUGAAUAACAAAGCAAAAAUGAUAACAGGCAAUCAAAUGGAUAAACGAUUCCUAAGGAUGGGGUAAUCGAAUAGUGUGGUCUCCUUAAUCUAUUCAGGUGGUUGACAAAUCUUCAAAGAAGCUAUCCCUAGACAACAAGUUCAACAGAUUAAUUCACUCCCGUGAUAGAAAUCCUCAAACAAAGCUAGACACUAACCUAAUUCCCAUUAGCGAUCUCUAACUAAGCAGGCAUUAUCGAAUCAACAUGUUAAAGCCAAUACCCUCUCUACAGCCAAUCUCUUGGGGUAGAGUCAGAUAUCUCUGGAAUUUAUAGGAUCCAACGCCCAUUAAACGCCUUCUGAGCGCUGGACGUCUGGACUCAUAUUCCACAUUAACCAGUGAAACAAGCAAUAAGCGCAACUAAUCCAGAAGGGAUUCUAGUAUUCUAAACUCAACCACCUAAAACGACCAAGUAAACCACAACUAAUCUAUCCCAUCCUCAGAAAUACGGUUCACUACUCAGACAUAAUCAAAGACAAUAGCAAAGUAACGAUUGAAAACAUGAUAACAUAAAUGACGUAAGACUUAUACGAAAACUAAAUAUCAAAUACUU
rnacentral:sRNA from 1 species